GAAAUGCGAUACUUGGUGUGAAUUGCAGAAUUCAGUGAAUCAUCGAAUCUUUGAACGCAUCUUGCGCUCCUUGGUAUUCCGAGGAGCAUGCCUGUUUGAGUGUCAUCAAGUUCUCAACUGCACCCAUUGGAAGGGGUGUGGCUUUGGAUAUGGAGGUUUUUCUUUGCAGGCUUGAGGUCUGCUCCUCUGAAAUGUAUUAGCGGUAUGUGGAAGCUACUGUGGGUGUGAUAAACUAUCUAUGCCUUUGCAGUUAUUUCUGUUGUGCUGCUUCUAGUUAUUAUUUUUGACAAACUUGACCUCAAAUCAGGUAGGACUACCCGCUGAACUUAA
rnacentral:misc_RNA from 1 species